rnacentral:rRNA from 1 species
AAUGAACGCUGGCGGCAGGCCUAAAACAUGCAAGUCGAACGCUCUAGCAAUGGAGAGUGGCGCACGGGUGAGUAACACGUGGGAAUAUGCCUUUUGGUACGGAACAACGUCUGGAAACGGACGCUAAUACCGUAUGGUCCCUCCGGGGUAAAGAUUUAUCGCCAAAAGAUUAGCCCGCGUCUGAUUAGCUAGUUGGUGAGGUAAUGGCUCACCAAGGCGACGAUCAGUAGCUGGUCUGAGAGGACGAUCAGCCACACUGGGACUGAGACACGGCCCAGACUCCUACGGGAGGCAGCAGUUAGGAAUAUUGGACAAUGGGCGCAAGCCUGAUCCAGCCAUGCCGCGUGAGUGAUGAAGGCCUUCGGGUUGUAAAGCUCUUUAGUCCACGAAUAUAAUGACUGUAGUGGAAGAAUAAGCCCCGGCUAACUUCGUGCCAGCCGCCGCGGUAAUAC